AGAGCCGGGGGUUCGGCCCGUAAAAGAACCCAUAACCCCAGGUACAGAAACCGAACCCACCCAGCCCGACCCGGCCCGCUGCACCCGCCGUCACUCGCUUGGGUGAUCCAUGACCGGAGGACUGGCUUCCGCUGCUUCCACCCAUGCACUCUCGGCAGCAACACCCCCGAAAACCCGCACACAUGCGACGGCCCCCGGCCGGGACUGGCAUCCCGAUCGAGGGCCUGACCAACGAGGAAGAAGAGACCUUCCCG
rnacentral:ncRNA from 1 species